rnacentral:rRNA from 1 species
UCGGGAAUUUUGGGCAAUGGGGGAAACCCUGACCCAGCAACGCCGCGUGAGGGAUGAAGGCCUUCGGGUCGUAAACCUCUGUCAGGAGGGAAGAAGGUCCUCGGGGUGAACAAUCCCGGGGAAUUGACGGUACCUCCGAAGGAAGCGCCGGCUAACUCCGUGCCAGCAGCCGCGGUAAUACGGAGGGCGCAAGCGUUGUUCGGAAUCAUUGGGCGUAAAGCGCGUGUAGGCGGUCGGGUCAGUCGGGUGUGAAAGCCCGGAGCUCAACUCCGGAACUGCACUCGAUACUGCCAGGCUAGAGUCCCGGAGAGGGUGGUGGAAUUCCCGGUGUAGAGGUGAAAUUCGUAGAUAUCGGGAGGAACACCAGUGGCGAAGGCGGCCACCUGGACGGUGACUGACGCUGAGACGCGAAAGCGUGGGGAGCAAACAGG